CUGAUUCCCUCCCGAGUCCCGACUCUCUCACUCUCUCACUCUCUCAAACUUUCAGACCUUCCCUCGACUCCGAUCCCCUCACCAACCUUCCUUCCCUCGACUCCGAUCCCCUCACCAACCGUCGUUUCUCCUCGGCGAAUACAACGGGACCACCCUUGCCAUCGACAACAUCCCAGAGAACCCAGGCCAUCACCCUUGCCGGUCGAUUCUCUCCUCUUCGACAGCAACCCCGCCGUCGUGACUCCAUCACCCCAUCACCGUCGUGACCGCCAGAGAACCCAGGCCAUCAUCCCUCUAAAAUUUAGGUAAUUUUGAAUUAGGGUUUUGUUGUUAAUUUGAAUUUUGGGUGUAGGGAUUUUUAGGGUUUUUAAAUUGGAAUUUGGGAUUUUAGGGUUUUUCGAACUAGGUUACUACUAGAGUUAAUUUUCCAUUUGCAUGUUGAUAAGAUUUGUAAGAGGCUGUGUUUAACUUUAACCCUCUAUUUCGGAAAACAUGGUUGCAUUUUAUAGCUGUGCCUGUGCAUUUAUUCAGGUAUAACUGUGCCAAACAAUGUAAAGUUUCUGAUUUGAGAGGCAUGAAGUAUAACUAGGUAUAACUAGGUUUAAAGUUUCUGAUUUAACUCAUAUUUGACUAGGUUUAUGUUUUAGUCUCUUGGAUUUUUUAGGAAGCUCUUUCCUGUUGAAAUUUGAAUUGAUUAUUUACUUUGUUCACUCGGUUCAGGUGGUUUUUAACAAGAAGAAGUAGUUUAAGAUGUGCACUGCUUAAACUCCUGC
rnacentral:lncRNA from 1 species